rnacentral:rRNA from 1 species
UUAUACGAGAGACCCAAGUUGACGCCUACGGCGUAAAGCGUGAUUAUAGGCAGAAUAAAACUAAGGCCAAAACCCCUCAAAGCUGUUAUACGCACAUCGAGGACCGUAAGCCCAAAAACGAAAGUAGCUUUAAUGCAAUUACCUAGACCACACGACAGUUGGGAAACAAACUGGGAUUAGAUACCCCACUAUGCCCAACCAUAAACUUUGAUAAUAAGAUACAAAUAUUAUCCGCCAGGGAACUACAAGCGCAUUGCUCGAAACCCAACGGACUUGGCGGUGCCCCACACCCACCUAGAGGAGCCUGUUCUGUAACUGACAAUCCCCGUUUAACCUCACCACCCCUAGCUUAAUCAGUCUAUAUACCACCGUCGUAAGCUCACCCUGUGAAGGCCCAAUAGUAAGCAAGAUGGGCACAACCCAACACGUCAGGUCGAGGUGUAGCAUAUGGGGCGGGAAGAAAUGGGCUACAUUUUCUGCCCAACAGAAUACCAACGAAUGCCGACAUGAAACUGUCGUUUAAAGGAGGAUUUAGCAGUAAAAAGAAAAUAGAGAGUUCUUUUGAAGCCGGCCCUGGGGCGCGCACACACCGCCCGUCACUCUCCACUACAACUUUCUUACAAAAGAAUAAACACAAAAUUAAAUAAUAAAAUAAUUGUCCUAACAGUGGAGACAAGUCG